rnacentral:tRNA from 1 species
UCCCUGGUGGUCUAGUGGCUAGGAUUCGGCGCUCUCACCGCCAAGGUCCCGGGGUUCGAUUCCCGGUCAGGGAA